rnacentral:lncRNA from 1 species
AUGAGUAAAUCCCAGGCUUUCGAGGUGGAGUCGCGCAGCUGCUCGCUGAUUGACCGCCGAAGCUGCAGUUUGCUGGACUUUCGGCUCGCUGUCAUCGUGAACGGUGACACAUAUCAGCGCCGCGCCCGGGUUUCCUCUGAGAGGACCGUUAUCCGCCGCUCGGUCGGUCGGACUCGCUCUGGUGCCGCAGUUGUCGUCACUCCACCUGAUACGCGGCGCUGCGUCACCUUGCAGCAGGAGAACAGCGAAGCUGUUUAUAAAAUAAAAAUAAAAUAAAUAUAAAAACUUUUCUUAUUAUAAUAAAUGUUGAAAACAGUUGUGCUGAAUAUUUUUGUGAAAGCCGUGAUACAUUGUUUUUAGGAUUCUUUGAUGAAUAGAAAGUUCAAAAGAACACCAUUUAUUUGAAAUAGAAAUGUAAAUUUUGAUCAGUUUAAUGUAUCCUUGCUGAAUAAAAAAAAGAAAAAAAUGGUAUAGUGUCUUUCAAUUAACAUGAGAAAGUGACUUGCAAAAGUGACUUGCACCUGAAAUCCUGUCUUUCUUUAGUGUGUACAUAUACAUUCUCCCUCUCUCUCACACACACACACACACACACACACACACAUCCAGUGUCUGUGGGUGUCAGGCAUUACACUGGCUCAGCUCCCUCUCAGGAGGGGGUGUUCAGGAGGGUAAGUUUGUGUUGGAGUAUUUAAGCCAUGAACACAGGGUUAAAGCAGUCAGUCCGAUCCACACUUGCAUCCUAGGUUGGUCGCAGUUAAACUGGAUACGGUGCUGUAACAGAGCCUGAACCUCCUCAACACAUAAACUGAGAGGAAAAGAUUGUUACCACAACUCAAACCUCAAAAUAAAAUGCUGGAGUAACUCUAUCAGGUAAACAGUGGCGCUGUUACCAGUCUGGUGCUGAAAGGGUCUCGCACUUCAACUUAACAUUUCUAUAUAUAUCCUAGUGAGGUGAUUUAUGUUUUACACACUUUAGAAGGACGGGGCCAUGAAGAAAAUGAAUAAAAGCUCAUAAACAUAAUCAUAAUCAUAAACAAGAAGGAUAAUUUGACCUCAUCAAUUUGAAAAACAUGAAAACAAUGUCACAAUUUAUAGCAAAAUGUUGAGCAAUAUAAAGUUUUGAUGUACAGAAAAUUUAAAUAAAAAAUAAAACAAAAAGAACAAAAUAAUUAUGUACUUCUAUAUGGCCUGCAAAAAUUCAACAGCAAAGUUGUAUGAAUGUGUAACCUAUGCGUGGCCCCAAAUGUCACUCCAUGUUAGCGUGGUUAUCACACAGCUAACUGCUCAUCUGUGUGAAAGAAUGAAUUCAUAUUGAGUCACCGGGGCCCCUCAGGAGACCCUAAUGAAUAUUCAUAUCAGAGACCCGUGAGCAUCAGAGGGAGUCACUGGCCUUUGGCAUCUUGUACUACUUUCUUAAAAUCAUCUUGAUUGCAAGAACGUAUCGCAAAAUGUUCUAGAAAUAUGUCCUUGACUUGUCCCACAAAAAUCAGGACACAUCAACCCCCAAAUGCCUUACGGAGAGCAGCCAAUCACAACAGCAGACCUGUUUUUGUGAGCAAACAUGCCAUUGAGAGCAGGCGUGUAAUGGGAUAGAAUUAGGACAGACAGACGUUCACAGAAUCAAUGGGAAACAGGGACUUAAGAACGGCACAACUCUCAGUUUUUAUACCCUUAUCUGGAUAAGGCUAAGGCCUUUUCC